GUUAACUUCUCACUAGAGGCGGGGGAAGUGUAGUUUAGAGUAGUUUCACAAAGUUUCUGAAGAUGGGGAUUUUGGGCUGAAUAUGAAGGGGAAUGGAUGCAAAACCCUGUGCCUUGCACAUCUCCCAAGAUGUGGGUCAGUGCUACCAAUUCAGCUUUCUGCAUGGAGGAAUUUUGUGGGAGAGGUUCUGCCCAGACAGUUUUUUCCAGUGUAACAACUGCAGCCCCUGCAUACCAUUCCCCAUCCUUGAUGAAACUGCUACCAUCACAGAAGAGGGUCAAGUCUGGGUGGUCCAUGGAACAUCAGUCAGGUCUGGUUGCAAGCUCUGAACACUCUCCACUACUUCCAGGUAGUCGUGGAGGAGUUCAUUUUCUGCAGAGUCAGCAGGCCCUCCUUACCCUUUGUGGCCUCAUAGAGGAGUCUCGCUAGCUCAGUGAACCGUGGGAUCCAGAGCCUACAGUAUCCAACAGUCCCCCAAAACUCACACAACUUCCGCCGAGUGUCUGGAGCAGGUAUUUGAAGGAUAGCAUUCACUCUACUACCAGAGAGCAAGCGCUUGCCUUGGUGUGGGACAUAACCCAGGGCAAGGCAGGGCGGUGAUGGAACAGGAGAUUGCAACAGAGAAGGUAUGACCUGCCUGACCCUCAGCAGUCUACCACCAGGUUGCCCUGGGCCAGCCCCGCUCCGCUGUUCCCACCGGAUGCAAGGAGGCUUGGUAGUUACAGGCAUCACUCCAUGGGUCCAUCAUUCCAGAGUGAGAAGAGCCCAUACUCCGGACAAAGAAAUACAUCAGUAGAAAGCCCAGCUAGACCUCCAGAUCCUCUCCACCUCUGCAUCUGACGAUUACCCUCUUGACUAAUGAACACCUGCACACCAUGGAUCCUGGCCCUCGCCAGAAUGGAAUCUCUCAUCCUGGGCAUUAAACUCUCUGCUGCUGGCCCCUCUGACUAAACUGUUCCUCAAAAAGUUGUCCUUUCUGUUGUCUAUUGGGUAAUCCUUAAGUUGUUCUGCUGUGCUUACCUGUCUCUCCUAGCUGAAUUCAAGUCUCAGCCUACAUUUCCAAAGUACCUCUCUAUAAUGUUUAACUACAAAAGUUAUGAAGUGCAUGGUCCUUAGCCAAGGGAGCUGCCCUCAGUGGCCCUACACCUUUAGCACCCGUCCUCUCACACUCAGAUAAACCAGCCUGAGUGUAAUGCUCAGCUGCAUAAAAAUAAAUUAGGACUGAAAAAACUAUUUUUGUUAAGCACAGACUUAAGAGUCUGAAGGACUCAUUGCAACCUAUAAUGCAUAAAAACAUAAUCAUUUGUGUUCUUCACAAACUACUCAAGUCUUUAAUGAAAAAGUCACAAGGAAAAAGUCCUAGCUCAAAGACAAGCCAUUAUAACCCUGUCAUAAACCAAAAAGACAUUGCCCCCUAAAAUGAAGUGUUUAAAGGGGCAUCAGAGGUGGGAGUGAUAAGGAAAAUAUCCAACACAGCCGUCCAGGUCAGCAAACCGCUUUUUUCCUCCUGUUGGCAAACCCCUCCCAGCUCCCCCUUCCCCUCCUCUAGGCUCCUCUUUUGCCCUGCGCAUGCGGAAAUGCCACGUAUCAAAAUAAUAUAAGUUGCUACCCUUGGUUGUGCGCAGGGCUCAGACCUUGGGAGAUUACUCCUCUCUGGGCCCACUGGUGUGAAAUAAACCUCAAAACUCCAAGA